rnacentral:rRNA from 1 species
AAGUCGUAACAAGGUUUCCGUAGGUGAACCUGCGGAAGGAUCAUUAGUGAACGCCCUCACGGGCUUAUAACUACUCCAAACCUCUGUGAACCGUGCCCUUCGGGGCUAUUUUACAAACAUGGUGUAAUGAACGUCAUAUAUCAUAACAAAAAAAAACUUUCAACAACGGAUCUCUUGGCUCUCGCAUCGAUGAAGAACGCAGCGAAAUGUGAUAAGUAAUGUGAAUUGCAGAAUUCAGUGAAUCAUCGAAUCUUUGAACGCACCUUGUGCUCUCUGGUAUUCCGGAGAGCACGCCUGUUUGAGUGUCAUGAACUCUUCAACCCACCGGUUCCUUGUUGGACCGAGUUGGUGUUUGGUUUUUGAGUGUUUUGCUAUGUCUGUUCAUAGCUCGCUCGUAAUACAUUAGCAUCUCAAUUUCGAAAUUUCGGACUGACUCAGCGUAAUAGACUAUUCGUUGAGGACACCUUUACUGGUGGCCGAAGUUAUGAUAACAGUAGACGCUUCUAAUCCUACUAGUCGUUUUAUUGAUUAGACCUCAAAUCAGGCAGGACUACCCGCUGAACUUAA